AUUGAACGCUGGCGGCAUGCCUUACACAUGCAAGUCGAACGGCAGCACGGGAGCAAUCCUGGUGGCGAGUGGCGAACGGGUGAGUAAAGUAUCGGAACGUGCCCAGUCGUGGGGGAUAACGUAGCGAAAGUUACGCUAAUACCGCAUACGCUCUAUGGAUGAAAGCGGGGGAUCGCAAGACCUCGCGCGAUUGGAGCGGCCGAGAUCAGAUUAGGUAGUUGGUGGGGUAAAGGCGCACCAAGCCGACGAUCUGUAGCUGGUCUGAGAGGACGGCCAGCCACACGGGGACUGAGACACGGCCCAGACUCCUACGAGAGGAAGCAGUGGGGAAUUGUGGACAAUGGGCGCAAGCCUGAUCCAGCCAUGCCGCGUGCAGGAUGAAGGCCUUCGGGUUGUAAACUGCUUUUGUACGGAACGAAAAGGUUUGACUUAAUACGUUGGACUCAUGACGGUACCGUAAGAAUAAGCACCGGCUAACUACGUGCCAGCCGCCGCAGUAA
rnacentral:rRNA from 1 species